GAUGAAGAACGUAGCGAAAUGCGAUAAGUAAUGUGAAUUGCAGAAUUCAGUGAAUCGUCGAAUCUUUGAACGCACAUUGCGCCCGCCAGUAUUCUGGCGGGCAUGCCUGUUCGAGCGUCAUUUCAACCCUCAGGCCCCCAGUGCCUGGUGUUGGGGAUCGGCCCAGCCUUCCUGUAAGGCCGCCGGCCCCGAAAUCUAGUGGCGGUCUCGCUGUAGUCCUCCUCUGCGUAGUAGCACAACCUCGCAGUUGGAACGCGGCGGUGGCCAUGCCGUUAAACACCCCACUUCUGAAAGUUGACCUCGGAUCAGGUAGGAAUACCCGCUGAACUUAAGCAUAUCAAUAAGCGGAGGA
rnacentral:misc_RNA from 1 species